rnacentral:rRNA from 1 species
UACGAAGGGGGCUAGCGUUGCUCGGAAUCACUGGGCGUAAGGGCGCGUAGGCGGCGUUUUAAGUCGGGGGUGAAAGCCUGUGGCUCAACCACAGAAUGGCCUUCGAUACUGGGACGCUUGAGUAUGGUAGAGGUUGGUGGAACUGCGUGUGUAGAGGUGAAAUUCGUAGAUAUUCGCAAGAACACCGGUGGCGAAGGCGGCCAACUGGACCAUUACUGACGCUGAGGCGCGAAAGCGUGGGGAGCAAACAGG